GCCUUCGUAGUGUAGUGGUCAUCACGCUCGGCCCGUAUUUUAGAGGACCGUGGUUCGAGUCCCGGCGAGGGCA
rnacentral:tRNA from 1 species